AGACAUGAAGCAAAAUAACUUGCACUCAGUUUCGACCUGAACAUAGAUGACAACUCAUCCUUGUCUA
rnacentral:tRNA from 1 species